UUCAGUUUCCUUUCCCCCAUGGCGGCUGUCCUCAGAGGCUGGCGGCUCUGGCGGCUCUUUCCGGAGCAUUCGGAGCAUUCUGUGCAUUGGUAGGAGGGAUUAUGUAAAGGGAAGUCAGCGCAAGGGGCCUGGAAAGUUGGGAGGAACAGACAGUGACCGUGGACAUUCUGGUUAAAUCUGCUUUUAUUGAAAGUUCUGCGGUGACUGCUCAGCCCAGCAUGGCUCCCGUAGGACAUGUGGCAUCCAGACUCUGACUUAGGCUCCUUUUUACUCACAGACAUUUAGAGAAUCCUCAUUAAAGUUACUUAGAGUGAAACAGAGAGACCAUGUUAUAAAAUAAACCUAGUUAAAUACA